CUGCAGUGGCGGCGUGCUAUACAUGCAAGUCGAGCGGACAGAUGGGAGCUUGCUCCCUGAUGUUAGCGGCGGACGGGUGAGUAACACGUGGGUAACCUGCCUGUAAGACUGGGAUAACUCCGGGAAACCGGGGCUAAUACCGGAUGGUUGUUUGAACCGCAUGGUUCAGACAUAAAAGGUGGCUUCGGCUACCACUUACAGAUGGACCCGCGGCGCAUUAGCUAGUUGGUGAGGUAACGGCUCACCAAGGCGACGAUGCGUAGCCGACCUGAGAGGGUGAUCGGCCACACUGGGACUGAGACACGGCCCAGACUCCUACGGGAGGCAGCAGUAGGGAAUCUUCCGCAAUGGACGAAAGUCUGACGGAGCAACGCCGCGUGAGUGAUGAAGGUUUUCGGAUCGUAAAGCUCUGUUGUUAGGGAAGAACAAGUGCCGUUCAAAUAGGGCGGCACCUUGACGGUACCUAACCAGAAAGCCACGGCUAACUACGUGCCAGCAGCCGCGGUAAUACGUAGGUGGCAAGCGUUGUCCGGAAUUAUUGGGCGUAAAGGGCUCGCAGGCGGUUUCUUAAGUCUGAUGUGAAAGCCCCCGGCUCAACCGGGGAGGGUCAUUGGAAACUGGGGAACUUGAGUGCAGAAGAGGAGAGUGGAAUUCCACGUGUAGCGGUGAAAUGCGUAGAGAUGUGGAGGAACACCAGUGGCGAAGGCGACUCUCUGGUCUGUAACUGACGCUGAGGAGCGAAAGCGUGGGGAGCGAACAGGAUUAGAUACCCUGGUAGUCCACGCCGUAAACGAUGAGUGCUAAGUGUUAGGGGGUUUCCGCCCCUUAGUGCUGCAGCUAACGCAUUAAGCACUCCGCCUGGGGAGUACGGUCGCAAGACUGAAACUCAAAGGAAUUGACGGGGGCCGCACAAGCGGUGGAGCAUGUGGUUUAAUUCGAAGCUACGCGAAGAACCUUAACAAGUCUUGACAUCCUCUGACAAUCCUAGAGAUAGGACGUCGCCUUCGGGGGCAGAGUGACAGGUGGUGCAUGGUUGUCGUCAGCUCGUGUCGUGAGAUGUUGGGUUAAGUCCCGCAACGAGCGCAACCCUGAUCUUAGUUGCCAGCAUUCAGUUGGGCACUCUAAGGUGACUGCCGGUGACAAACGGAGGAAGGUGGGGAUGACGUCAAAUCAUCAUGCCCCUUAUGACCUGGGCUACACACGUGCUACAAUGGACAGAACAAAGGGCAGCGAAACCGCGAGGUUAAGCCAAUCCCACAAAUCUGUUCUCAGUUCGGAUCGCAGUCUGCAACUCGACUGCGUGAAGCUGGAAUCGCUAGUAAUCGCGGAUCAGCAUGCCGCGGUGAAUACGUUCCCGGGCCUUGUACACACCGCCCGUCACACCACGAGAGUUUGUAACACCCGAAGU
rnacentral:rRNA from 1 species